rnacentral:rRNA from 1 species
GACAGAGGUGCCAAGCGUUAGGCGGAAUCACUGGGCUUAAAGCGUGUGUAGGCGGAUGCCUAAGUACCUUGUGAAAUCCCACGGCUCAACCGUGGAACUGCUUGGUAUACUGGGUGUCUUGAGCCAUCUAGGGGCUACCGGAACAAAUGGUGGAGCGGUGAAAUGCGUAGAUAUCAAGUGGAACACCAGUGGCGAAGGCGAGUCCCUGGACAACUUCUGACGCUGAGGCACGAAAGCUAGGGGAGCAAACAGG